rnacentral:rRNA from 1 species
GAUGAACGCUGGCGGCGUGCCUAAUACAUGCAAGUCGAGCGAACAGACGAGGCGCUUGCUCCUAUUCCGUUAGCGGCGGACGGGUGAGUAACACGUGGGUAACCUACCUAUAGGACUGGGAUACCUUCGGGAACCCGGAUAUAAUACCGGAUAAUAUAUUGAACCGCAUGGUUCAUUAGUCAACGAGGGUUUUGAUGUCACUUAUAGAUGGUUCCGCGCCGCAUUAGCUAGUUGGUAAGGUAACGGCUUACCAAGGCAACGAUGCGUAGCCGACCUGAGAGGGUGAUCGGCCACACUGGAACUGAGACACGGUCCAGACUCCUACGGGAGGCAGCAGUAGGGAAUCUUCCGCAAUGGGCGAAAGCCUGACGGAGCAACGCCGCGUGAGUGAUGAAGGUCUUCGGAUCGUAAAACUCUGUUAUUAGGGAAGAACAAAUGUGUAAGUAACUAUGCACGUCUUGACGGUACCUAAUCAGAAAGCCACGGCUAACUACGUG